rnacentral:rRNA from 1 species
GCCUAAUACAUGCAAGUCGAGCGCGUGAAGCUUUUCAGAACUCUUCGGAGUGACGAAAGGUGGAACGAGCGGCGGACGGGUGAGUAACACGUGGGCAACCUGCCUGUAAGACCGGGAUAACUUGCGGAAACGUGAGCUAAUACCGGAUAAAGUCUUUCACCUCCUGGUGAAAGAAUAAAAGACGGUUUUGCUGUCACUUACAGAUGGGCCCGCGGCGCAUUAGCUAGUUGGUGGGGUAACGGCCUACCAAGGCGACGAUGCGUAGCCGACCUGAGAGGGUGAUCGGCCACACUGGGACUGAGACACGGCCCAGACUCCUACGGGAGGCAGCAGUAGGGAAUCUUCCGCAAUGGACGAAAGUCUGACGGAGCAACGCCGCGUGAGUGAUGAAGGUUUUCGGAUCGUAAAACUCUGUUGUUAGGGAAGAACAAGUACGAGAGUAACUGCUCGUACCUUGACGGUACCUAACCAGAAAGCCACGGCUAACUACGUGCCAGCCGCCGCAGUAAGAC